rnacentral:lncRNA from 1 species
UUCAAAUUGAGACUAUUCGAUCCAGGGGCUGGUCAUCAAGAUGGAGCAGGGUAUAGAGAAGCCAUUAGGGAUGAUACAGAACACCACCAAAGGAGCUCCUUCUGGGAUUCUCUAUUGGCUGAACUCAGCCAGAAGCUGCCAAGGGAGACCCCCACAACUGGAUGCAGCCCACUGAAGUCAGCUUCCUGGGGUGCGUAGCUGAAGGUAGCAGGGAGCAAAAAGAAUCUGAAGGGGAAGUGAACAAUGUAGAGCGUAUCUGUGCUGAAGACGUAAGGAGAGAGUGGAGGUCAGAAGCUGGCAUGGUCCCUGGUGCAUGUAUCAGCCGCUAAAGAAGUGGAGAGUAUGAACAUAAGCAAGAGGAAGUGAUGAGUAUCCCUUCCAGGAGAACUCUAAGAGGCAGUGAGUGAUUUGCUGGGCUCCCAAGCCCUCUGCUCUGAUGACAGCAAAGCCCCAAAUCAUGGUGCCUCCAUCAGUCGGGACCCCUCAGCAGAGCCAGCUUCACAGCUGGAGUGGAUGAAUCAGAACUUUCCCCAUGGGAGCAUUUAUAAAAAGGGGACACCCAGCGCAGAAGAUGUUUUCCAGGGAGAUCUCGGGGAGCCCAACAAGCCAAGAAGAGCAGAGCAAAGCAUUCCAAGGAAGGACUCUAAGUCUGCAACCGAGCACACACGAGCACAAGGAAAGACCAUGUGAAUACACAGCAAGAACGUGGUGCUCUGCAAGUCAGAAACAGACCCGUCAUCAGACACCAAAUCAGCCAGCACCUUGAUCUAGGAUUUCUGGCCUCCAAAACAGUGAGAAAAUAAAAUUCUGUUGUUUAAGCCAUGCAGCCUGUUGUAUUUCAUUAUGGCAGCCUGAGCAGAAUAAGACAGGUAUAUACAAAUGCAAAUUCUAUUAAGAAAUCUGUAUCUUUUACCCUAUUGAAGUAAG